GACAGAGGGUGCAAACGUUGUUCGGAAUUACUGGGCGUAAAGCGCGUGUAGGCGGCCCUGCAAGUCGGAUGUGAAAUCCCACGGCUCAACCGUGGAAGUGCAUUCGAAACUGCAGGGCUAGAGUCCUGGAGAGGAAGGUGGAAUGCUUGGUGUAGAGGUGAAAUUCGUAGAUAUCAAGCGGAACACCGGUGGCGAAGGCGGCCUUCUGGACAGUGACUGACGCUGAUGCGCGAAAGCUAGGGGAGCGAACGGG
rnacentral:rRNA from 1 species